GUGAAUCAUCGAAUCUUUGAACGCAUAUUGCACUCUUUGGUAUUCCGAAGAGUAUGCCUGUUUGAGGGUCAUUUGAAAAUUAAUCUAGACUAUUAGUCUUGGAAUAAUGAGUUUUCCAUUCAACGAUCUCUGAGAUUUGUGGAUGGUAACUCGAAAUCAAUGCUAACGUCUUGGCUUGUAAUAGACGCGUUUAUGUUUAAAUCUUCGCAACUAAUCAAGUCUUGAUAUGGCAUGUUCAAAUUCUUUGACGAAAGUUAAAAGAGUAGAACAAUUACUUUUUAUAAUCGUGACCUCAAAUCA
rnacentral:misc_RNA from 1 species